UUGAGAAAGGGACCAGAAGGCUUAGGGAGGCAGGGCAGCUAGCUAUAUUUAUUAUGUGAGAUGGGCAAACCCACCCUCCACAGAGGCAAUAAGCCACAUGCUGUUGGGAGGGAGGCAGGCCAGGGUGUAGGGAAAGCAAACCAGCAUCUCUGAGAAGCCUGGGGCAGCCACCUCUGCAGGCGUCAGUUCCAAAAUGUCAUCUGGAGGAUUGCUUUCAAGGGACACUUUCAGUUCCCGAUGUUUAUCCUGGAUUCCCC
rnacentral:lncRNA from 10 species